CGGGUGAGGUAUGUAUGGGGAUCGUCUCGAUGGCGGGGGAUAACUACUGGAAACGGUAGCUAAUACCGCAUAACGUCGCAAGACCAAAGAGGGGGACCUUCGGGCCUCUUGCCAUCGGAUGUGCCCAGAUGGGAUUAGCUAGUAGGUGGGGUAACGGCUCACCUAGGCGACGAUCCCUAGCUGGUCUGAGAGGAUGACCAGCCACACUGGAACUGAGACACGGUCCAG
rnacentral:rRNA from 1 species